AAACAAAUGUCUUCAAGAAUAGGAAAGAUAUAAAUGUAUUCAGACAAUAUCGAUUCUACUAAGGUAGAACACGUGGCACCUUCCUAGGACUAGAGGACCUACCAAAACUUGAGGAGAAGUCCAUGUCUUCUUGCAAAACAACCUUGAGACUGCAACGACCCAAACCUACAUAUGUGUAGAAUCAUAAAGAAUAUGGGUUAGUACAACCACUUGUAAUAAGUAUGGAUAUAUGAACAUAAACCAUUUGAAAUCAUGCUUAAAAGGGCAUUUUUUUUCAAAACCAUUCUAAGUCACUUUCCAAAAGCUUUUAUGCACAAUUAAGAACAUAUAUAGGCCAAUACACAUAACAUUACUAAAGAUAAGUCCAUAGCGAACACAAGACCAAUACCAUAAAAAAGUUAAGUCAACAUGGACAUUAUCAACAUAAGGUCAUAUCAAUAUGCAUGUGAUCACAUUAAGAUCAUAUAAGCCUAACAACUCCAACAUAGUGUCCUAGCAACAAUUCAUGUACAAGAGCAUAUAAGACCCUUACUCACAACACCUUCCCAAGCCUACAGGUGCAACGCUUAUAUGAAAUCUCAUAACCCUACAUAAUCAAGUAAACCAAACAAAGGAUCAUAAGCACUGUCAACAAUUCAUAUACCUCCAUAUUAUGCAUAUUAUGCAUCAUAUAUGUCAAUUUAGACUAAUAGAAUAUUAUCAAUGAAACUAAUAUCAUAUAGGAUCAUUAACAUAUAAAGUCAUAUAUGUAAUUCAUUGAUAUCAUAAGUAGAUAAGAGCAACCUUCUAAGACCUCCCUCAAGUCCAAUUUAUGCAAUGUAUAAGUAGAAUCCCAUACCCCUACCUACACUAAGUAUAAUCCCUCAAGUCACCCUAGUUACUAUUCACUUCAAUAAUUUCAUUUUACUUUAGGGAAAAAUCAUCUAAAUCGAUAAUAGACCACGUGAUCUAAACAUAGAAUCCAAUGUCAUCUAACCCUACACCGAAAGAAGGUGGUCUACUUGCCAAGGUAGGACCAAAACAUGAACAUAGAAUUUUAGGUUGAUCCACUAGCUAGUAUUCCUAUGGAGGCAACAUAGUUAAGGAACUAGGAAAUAUGUCUUGAACCCUUUACAUGAUCAUUAUCAAUUGGAGUCCUCAUUUGAUGAGAACAUUUGGUGAAUCUCCCUUCUAUGUGGACUCACCACCUCUCACUGUCAAGUUCACUCGGUGUUAAGCUAGUUUUUGAAAUGUCUCUAAUUCUUAAUCAUCAUAGAUUAAUAUAGGACAUAGGAUAUUAACCCCUUCAUUUUUUUAGAUAAACACAUCAUAAUCAUAUCAUAGUAAGACACACAAGUGAUUCACAUUCAACAUUGUAUUGUCAUAACCUUAACAUGAUCUCACGAUUCACAUGUCAAGACAUUUCAUCAUAAUCAUCAUAUCAUCAUAUUAUUUAUAUAAUCACAUAAAAUAGUUCAAUUGAACAUCAUAAAUAAGUGUAAACCAUCAUCAUUGAAGUAAAGAACUCAAGAUCAUAAAGGUCUUACCAAUAAGCCUCAAAAACCUUCUUCAAGAUCAUACCCUCAAUUCAUCACAAUUAACCAACGAUCCACUCAACAUAAUCAUAAUAUAUUGAAUUAAACAAUAACUUAAUCAAUUCCAACAACCCUAUUUAUAGGUAGGGUUAAGGAAAAAGGUUCAUCCAUGAAUUCUUCAAGAAAUAGAUACAAUCCCAAAAAUAUAUGACCUUAGACAGUCCAUAAACAAAAUAGAAUAUUUAAAACUAAUCUAACAAUCAAAAAAUUAAUCAAUUCCCAUCAAUUCAUAAGCAAGAUCCAAGAUUUGAGGAAAUUGGGGAAAUGACACGAAAUACACGAAAAUCAUAUUAAUAAACAUCAACUAUUAAACAAUAUAACUUAAUUAGCCAUAGGUAAUCCCAAUUAAUCAUAAUUAAUCAUCAAUUUCAAGUAUAGAAGAAAACUCAUUCGUAGAGCAAAACCCUUGGAAUUGGGUAAUUUAGAAAUCAACUUUGAAUGUACCUCUUGGGAAAGGACUCCCAAGAACGAAAGAGUCCAUGCCUUAUGAAGACUUUAUUCAUAAUUUGAGAAGAAAACUUGAGGGAUUAGGUCUUAUUCUUCAAGCUUCUUGAUUCCUUCAAUGGAGGUUGAAUAGAAAGAGAAAGUAGAGAGAGGUGAGAGAUUUUGAAUUUUG
rnacentral:lncRNA from 1 species